UACGAAGGGGGCUAGCGUUGUUCGGAAUCACUGGGCGUAAAGCGCACGUAGGCGGAUCUUUAAGUCAGGGGUGAAAUCCCGAGGCUCAACCUCGGAACUGCCUUUGAUACUGGGGAUCUCGAGUCCGGGAGAGGUGAGUGGAACUGCGAGUGUAGAGGUGAAAUUCGUAGAUAUUCGCAAGAACACCAGUGGCGAAGGCGAUCUUCUGGACGGAUACUGACGCUGAGGCGCGAAAGCUAGGGGAGCAAACGGG
rnacentral:rRNA from 1 species